rnacentral:ncRNA from 1 species
GCCGUGCCUCUAAUACUAUUACUUUGAAGAAAUUAGAGUGCUCAUAGCAAACCUACGCUCAAUAUACAUUAGCAUGGGAUAACAUCAUAGGAUUCCAGUCCUAUUGUGUUGGCCUUUAGGAUCAAACUAAUGAUUAACAUGGACAGUCAGAAGCAUUCGUAUUUCAUAAUCAGAGGUGAAAUUCUUGGAUUUAUGAAACACGAAAACUACGAAAGUAAUUCUUACAAAAAAAAAACCAACU